GAUGAACGCUGGCGGCGUGCCUAAUACAUGCAAGUCGAGCGAACAGACGAGGAGCUUGCUCCUCUGACGUUAGCCGCGGACGGGUGAGUAACACGUGGAUAACCUACCUAUAAGACUGGGAUAACUUCGGGAAACCGGAGCUAAUACCGGAUAACAUGUUGAACCGCAUGGUUCAACAGUGAAAGACGGUCUUGCUGUCACUUAUAGAUGGAUCCGCGCCGCAUUAGCUAGUUGGUAAGGUAACGGCUUACCAAGGCAACGAUGCGUAGCCGACCUGAGAGGGUGAUCGGCCACACUGGAACUGAGACACGGUCCAGACUCCUACGGGAGGCAGCAGUAGGGAAUCUUCCGCAAUGGGCGAAAGCCUGACGGAGCAACGCCGUGUGAGUGAAGAAGGUCUUCGGAUCGUAAAACUCUGUUAUUAGGGAAGAACAAAUGUGUAAGUAACUAUGCACGUCUUGACGGUACCUAAUCAGAAAGCCACGGCUAACUACGUG
rnacentral:rRNA from 1 species